rnacentral:rRNA from 1 species
GACGAACGCUGGCGGCGUGGAUUAGGCAUGCAAGUCGAACGGUAGGAUACCUUCGGGUAUCUGAGAGUGGCGAACGGGUGAGUAACACGUAGGUGAUCUACCCUCAAGAUUGGGACAACCCAGGGAAACUUGGGCUAAUACCGGAUGAAAGCAGCAGUGAUGUUGUUUGAAAGGUGGCGUAAGCUGCCGUUUGGGGAUGAGCCUGCGCUCUAUUAGUUAGUUGGCGGGGUAAAGGCCCACCAAGGCGAUGAUAGAUAGGCGGCCUUAACGGGUGGUCGCCCACACUGGGAUUGAGAUACGGCCCAGACUCCUACGGGAGGCAGCAGUCGAGAAUAGUCUACAAUGGCCGAAAGGCUGAUAGUGCGACGCCGCGUGAACGAAGAAGCCCUUCGGGGUGUAAAGUUCUUUUAUAUGUGAGCAGUGCUUUCUAAUGUGAACAGCAUGGGGAAGAGAUAUUAGCAUAUGAAUAAGCAACGGCUAACUCCGUGCCAGCACG